CUGAGAGGGUGAACGGCCACAUUGGGACUGAGACACGGCCCAAACUCCUACGGGAGGCAGCAGUGGGGAAUAUUGCACAAUGGGGGAAACCCUGAUGCAGCGACGCCGCGUGAGUGAAGAAGUAUUUCGGUAUGUAAAGCUCUAUCAGCAGGGAAGAAAAUGACGGUACCUGAGUAAGAAGCCCCGGCUAACUACGUGCCAGCAGCCGCGGUAAUACGUAGGGGGCAAGCGUUAUCCGGAUUUACUGGGUGUAAAGGGAGCGUAGACGGCGAGACAAGUCUGGAGUGAAAACCCGGGGCUCAACCCUGGGACUGCUUUGGAAACUGCCUGGCUGGAGUGCAGGAGAGGUAAGUGGAAUUCCUAGUGUAGCGGUGAAAUGCGUAGAUAUUAGGAGGAACACCAGCGGCGAAGGCGGCUUACUGGACUGUAACUGACGUUGAGGCUCGAAAGCGUGGGGAGCAAACAGGAUUAGAUACCCUGGUAGUCCACGCCGUAAACGAUGAUCACUAGGUGUUGGGGGCCUACAGGCCUUCGGUGCCGUCGCAAACGCAAUAAGUGAUCCACCUGGGGAGUACGUUCGCAAGAAUGCAACUCAAAU
rnacentral:rRNA from 1 species